rnacentral:rRNA from 1 species
AAGACGAACGCUGGCGGCGUGCUUAACACAUGCAAGUCGAGCGGAAAGGCCCUUCGGGGUACUCGAGCGGCGAACGGGUGAGUAACACGUGAGUAAUCUGCCCCUAGCUCUGGGAUAGCUCCGGGAAAACCGGGAUUAAUACCAGAUACGACCACUUUAGACAUCUGUUGUGGUGGAAAGAAUUUUGGCUAGGGAUGAGCUCGCGGCCUAUCAGCUUGUUGGUGAGGUAACGGCUCACCAAGGCGACGACGGGUAGCCGGCCUGAGAGGGCGACCGGCCACACUGGGACUGAGACACGGCCCAGACUCCUACGGGAGGCAGCAGUGGGGAAUAUUGCGCAAUGGGCGAAAGCCUGACGCAGCGACGCCGCGUGGGGGAUGAAGGCCUUCGGGUUGUAAACCCCUUUCAGCAGGGACGAAGCGAAAGUGACGGUACCUGCAGAAGAAGCGCCGGCUAACUACGUGCCAGCAGCCGC